rnacentral:lncRNA from 1 species
AGAUUCUGGGAAGAGGUCCAUAGCAGGAGCUCCCUGCACUUGAGCCCAGUUUCUCCCGGGAACACAGGUGGGGUCCCCCGUUCGCGUGAGCCCUGCGGCCGGCCAGAUGUGCGACUCUCUCCUUCGCCGGCUUGGCCAGAUCCACGAGUCGGGGGGGAAAAUUUACAGGGAGGCGCAGUCAGCUGGAGGAGAAGGAGGGGCUCCCAGUGCACAGAAACAGAUGUUGUUCUGGGCAAAUGGGAGGGGGCGUGUGUGUGGGUGUGUUUGCAUCCAAGACUGGACUCAGAGCGGGGGUCUAGCUCUCAUUCUCACACUGAGUUCACUGUGUCCCAACGCCCCCCCCCCCCCCACCCCCAUGGGAAGAUGACAGCCCUGUCCAUCACGUCCACAGUAAACCUACGGAACGGUCGCGGGACAAAGUAAUUUAGAAAGGGACAGCGCCUGGAUUCCUAGUUGUCUCUACAUGAUUAUUUUUUUCAUUUUUUUUGUCCUCCCUGGGUUUGUGUGUGUUUCCUCCUAUCGUACAAAGAUAAACAUUUUAGGUGGAUUGGUGACUCGUGUCUGUGGUCUGUAAACGCGUGUGUGAUUAUCUUGUGAAACAAUGGAACCUCCUUCAAGGUGCACCCUGCCCAGCCUUAGUGCCCUAUGAUUCCAGGAUAAGAUCUGAACCACGGGAACGCAGCCUUAGGAUAAGUGGUUGUUGAUGGCGAAUUCAGAGUAAAUACCUUGAUCAAGGGUCCUGCAGCAGGGGUUGGGAUUCAAACCCUUGUCCUGGUAAUUACAAGCAAUAGAAUUACAAUUACAAUGGUCCAUUUACAUUUAUGCAUUUAGCAGUGUACCACCAUUGGACUUGGAGGUCAUAAGCUGAACUCCCACCCCCUUUUGUAAUACCCCUAAGAAAGAUACUUACCCUGAACUGCUUCAGCAAAAAUUACUAAACUGUAUAAACGCGUGAACCGCAAGGAAGCUUUGAAGAAAGAUCAGCUCAAUGUAUAGAUGUAGCAGACUUUUUGCUCCAAAGUGAGGUACAAUUCAUGGUAAACAAGAGUGCAUUGCACAGCAGAGCUGUAGGUCCAGACACAUGGUUACUCUACUCAUACAGAUGUCCAUGGAGCCUUUGUGUCGAUAAGUGGAAGCUCCUCGGAGGCUCGGAGAACUGAGCUGAAUCGGAACCCUACACUCAUACUUCUGCUUCCGCCAGUACAGUUCAGUACCCGAGAAGCCUAUCAGACACGCUCACCUCUGGGCUUUUUUGCAGAAAUAAAAUUGUACCACAAGAUGACUUCCA